ensembl:lncRNA
CUGUGCUCUCCUUCUGUGUCUUGUUCCCUCGUUAUCCCUCUGUGUAUUUAAGCCCUGUGUUUCUCUUUGUCAGUGUCGUAGUCCCCCUCAUGGCUGUGUUUCCAUGUGUGUUAGUUAUCCAUGUCCCAGUUUAGUUUUGUUAUAUUUUUUGUGCCAUCCUGCAAUAAAGCAGCUUUUUGAGUUUAAUUCCUACGUGGUGAGUUUUACGUUUGGGUCCUUCUCCUGCCUGCACACAGCCGAAACAUGACACCAGCAUGUUGAGAUUGACACCAAAGGGGUCACUGUACGAGAUGGACAGACAGAAAGACAUCUCACUGGAAAGGAUCUCGUCACUGCUGGAAGUUAAAAGUCAGUGGUUUAUGAGGAGGUACAACAAGUUCCACCUACAAAACUAAAGAUUUAAAAACCAGGAGAUCAAUGUUACUAAUGGCAAUGCCAGUGACUAUAGCAUUGCCUCUCCUCUCAUGAUGAACUGCUGGCUCACAUCUGCUGACUCUGCCUUGCAGAGACCACUGGCCGAUUUCGUUGUUCCACAACUUUAACUGGAAACUGUGAGAAAAUAUUUCAUUUGAGAAGAGACUACGGAAAAUACUUGCAACACCUGUUUCCAGCAUGAACAAAUAAACAUAUCUUGGAUUGUUUAAUAACUCACAAAUUUUAUUUUACUGAAAAAACUGUAUAAAGUCAGAAUAAUACAUCCAACUGUGUGAAUUUCAUUAAAAAUAAAGAUGAACAAAAAUGACCCAAAAUACACACAGUUGACCGUUAUAAUAAUAGUACACCUUGUACCUAAAUACAAUCUACAAGUUAAAAUCUUGUCAGUUUAAACUGAUUUGUCUAAAUGAAAACCAUUUGGAGUCUCUGUUAAGCACCACAUCAUUAGCAAAGAAAAUACUUAGAAAUGUAAAAUUACUAGAAUUCUCCUUUAGAAAGGUUCCAUAUUUGUAUAUUGUCAUUGUUUUACUAUUUUCUCUUAUGCAGUAGUUUUCUUUGUGCUUUGUAACAUCUGUGUUUAAAUCUAUUCCUUAUAAUGACAACUAGACAUGUGAUUGCUUUUGCUUUCUGAAUCAUCUGUUUUCUCAGCACCUUCCUGACCUCAUCAGUCUUAAAAAUAGAUUAAUUUUUGUUUGACAUAUACUUUAUAACAGCCACAUACUAGUUUCACAAUUAGUGCUAAGAUCUGCGACUUUAAUUUCUCAAAACAUUGUUCCAUGUUACAAAUUGGUGGAAACUGUUAGAUUUUACAUAAAUUGGUGCUGUGGGGAGUGUUUUAUGUAAGUGGGUGUUUGUUAUGUUUGGUGGUGAUAGAGGAGAGAAAUGAAAGAUUUUCCUUUUGAAAAAAUGUGUACAUAGUAAUACUGUAGUUUUGAGUUCAAACAGCAGUUUCCACUGCCUUGCACUAGUAGGA